UCUGUUAAAGCGUAGGAGUAGGAGACUUCACUUCACUUAAGACAAGAAGACCUCACACACCUCACAGGAAGGAUUUACAGAGAAAGACACAUGUUGUACAUAUUAGGGAUUACCAUUGGCCUCAUCUGCAUCAUUAUAUACUUUUCAAAUGGCCUAAAAGAGAGAAAUGCUUUGAUGCGCAGAAAUAAAGGUGGAAAUCCUCAAAAUCCUGAACACAAGGAAGCCAACAAGAAAAAGUUAAAUGAACAAGACUAUCACUUAUUGGCCAAAGUCCUGUCAGUUGGAUUGGUAGACGCAGACCCUAAUUAUCUUCAACACCUCAAGGACUACAGGGACCUGCGUGGUAGCACUUCCUGAAGGAUCCACACACCAGGAAAUGCACCAGGAAAUGUACGGCACAGUUAUUUCUGGAGACAUUCACAUUUGGUACCCUGGAAAAUAUGUAUUUCUACGCAAGAUCAAGCUUUCCACCAGUAUCAAAAAACAUUAACGGACAAUGUGAGAAUGAAGAAAGAUGCGCCCAGAGUUGUCAUUGCAGUGAUGUGCUGCCCUUUUAUGUUAUUAGUUAAUUAUUGAAUAAUGAAAUGAUUAGCUAUAAAACUGCACAUUUUACUCUUUGCCCCAUGGCAAAAUGUGUAGAAUUGUAGGAAGUUAGCUGCUUUCUCCCCCCCAAAAAACGGUGGUACGCCACUGCAUGGUAUUGGAGACUAUAAUAGCUCACAUACGGUUCCUGAUUUCCACUUAACAGAUAUGUAUGAUAUGAAAGUGUUCAUACAGCUUCUGGAAACACAAUAAUAUUCCAAUCUCAAGACAAAACGUUAUAACAAUUGGUAAUAUAUUAUAUCACCUCAUCUAUACUCUCAUCUUCUCAUUUGGUCAAGUUGUAGUCAGAGAAUUUGAAAGUGGAAAAGUAUUGUUUUGAAAAUGUGAUAACUUCCUGGUAGAAAAGAACUAAAUCAAUCAACUGAGUUCUAUUUUUCACUUGUGAUAUGCUGAUUAUGUUUAUUUUAAAAAGAACAACUGUAUCUUCAUGAAACACAAACAUAAUAGGUUUAAUUUCACUCUCUUUAAAUAAGAUAUUUGGUUUUCCCAAAAUAUCUUAGAGGCAUAUUUGUUAGUUAGUAACUAUGUUGUCAGAGGACAGUAUAUAUCCCAAGACCCUGUGUGCAAUAUCUAUUCAUACACAUACAGUAUUUAUUGAGGUAUGUUGGGGAAAUCGGAGUGACAACAAUGUAUCAGGCCCAGUGGAUUGAAAGAGGAACAUGGGUUGAGUUCACAGGAGGUUGGUGGCACCUUAAUUGGGGAGGACGGGCUCGUGGUAAUGGCUGGAGCGGAAUCAGUG